UUUGAAAAAGGCAAACCAAUCGUGAGAUUGGGACGCAAAGCUAUGGGUCUUCAAUGAAGAAUGCCAGGCUGCCAUAU
rfam:Candidatus Brocadia sinica JPN1 DNA, contig: brosiA.